rnacentral:rRNA from 1 species
UACGUAGGGUGCGAGCGUUGCCCGGAUUUAUUGGGCGUAAAGGGCGCGUAGGCGGUCACGCACGUCCGUUGUAAAAUCGCUCGGCUCAACUGGGCGGGGUCAGCGGAUACGGCGUGGCUGGAGCAAGCUAGGGGGCAAUGGAAUUCCCGGUGUAGUGGUGGAAUGCGUAGAUAUCGGGAGGAACACCAGUGGCGAAGGCGGUUGCCUGGAGCUUUGCUGACGCUGAUGCGCGAAAGCGUGGGGAGCAAACAGG